rnacentral:misc_RNA from 1 species
GAUGAAGAACGCAGCGAAAUGCGAUAAGUAAUGUGAAUUGCAGAAUUCAGUGAAUCAUCGAAUCUUUGAACGCACAUUGCGCCCGCCAGUAUUCUGGCGGGCAUGCCUGUUCGAGCGUCAUUUCAACCAUCAAGCCCCCGGCUUGUGUUGGGGACCUGCGGCUGCCGCAGGCCCUGAAAAGCAGUGGCGGGCUCGCUGUCACACCGAGCGUAGUGGCAUACAUCUCGCUCUGGGCGUGCUGCGGGUUCCGGCCGUUAAACCACCUUCAUAACCCAAGGUUGACCUCGGAUCAGGUAGGAAGACCCGCUGAACUUAAGCAUAUCAAUAAGCGGAGGA